rnacentral:rRNA from 1 species
GACGUAGGAUGCAAGCGUUGUCCGGAUUUAUUGGGCGUAAAGAGUUCGUAGGUGGUUUGUUAAGUCUGAUGUUAAAGACUGGGGCUCAACCUCGGAAAUGCAUUGGAUACUGGCAGACUUGAGUGUGGUAGAGGCAAUCGGAAUUCCAGGUGUAGCGGUGAAAAUGCGUAGAUAUCUGGAAGAACACCGGUGGCGCAAGCGGAUUGCUGGGCCAUAACUGACACUGAGGAACGAAAGCUAGGGGAGCAAAUGGG